UACGGAGGGUGCGAGCGUUAUCCGGAAUUACUGGGUUUAAAGGGCGCGUAGGCGGCGCAGUAAGUCAGGUGUGAAAGUUUGCGGCUCAACCGUAAAAUUGCUUUUGAUACUGCUGUGCUAGAAUUAGGAUGAGGUCAGCGGAAUGUGGCAUGUAGCGGUGAAAUGCAUAGAUAUGCCAUAGAACACCAAUUGCGAAGGCAGCUGGCUAGACCUAUAUUGACGCUGAGGCACGAAAGCGUGGGGAGCGAACAGG
rnacentral:rRNA from 1 species